rnacentral:rRNA from 1 species
GAUGAACGCUGGCGGCGUGCCUAAUACAUGCGAGUCGAGCGAACAGAUGAGGAGAUUGCUCCUCUGACGUUAGCGGCGGCCGGGUGAGUAACACGUGGCUAACCUACCUAUAAGACUGGGAUAACUUCGGGAAACCGGCGCUAAUACCGGAUAAUAUAUUGAACCGCUUGGUUCAAUAGUGAAAGACGGUUUUGCUGUCACUUAUAGAUGGAUCAGCGCCGCAUUAGCUAGUUGGUAAGGUAACGGCUUACCAAGGCAACGAUGCGUAGCCGACCUGAGAGGGUGAUCGGCCACACUGGAACUGAGACACGGUCCAGACUCCUACGGGAGGCAGCAGUAGGGAAUCUUCCGCAAUGCGCGAAAGCCUGACGGAGCAACGCCGCGUGAGUGAUGAAGGUCUUCGGAUCGUAAAACUCUGUUAGUAGGGAAGAACAAAUGUGUAAGUAACUAUGCACGUCUUGACGGUACCUAAGCAGAAAGCCACGGCUAACUACUUG